rnacentral:rRNA from 1 species
GACGAACGCUGGCGGCGUGCCUAAUACAUGCAAGUCGAACGCAGUGGGGACGGGUGAGUAACACGUGGGUAACCUCCCAUCAGAGGGGAUACAACUUGGAAACAGGUGCUAAACCGCUACUGAUGGAUGGACCAGCGGUGCAUUAGCUAGUUGGUGAGGUAACGGCUCACCAAGGCCACGAUGCAUAGCGGGCCUGAUAGGGUGAUCGGCCAAACUGGGACUGAGCCACGGCCCAGACUCCUACGGGAGGCAGCAGUGGGGAAUCUUGGGCAAUGGACGAAAGUCUUACCGAGCAACGCCGCGUGAGUGAAGAAGGUUUUCGGAUCGUAAAACUCUGUUGUUAGAGAAGCGGUAUCUACCCAGAAAGCAACGGCUAACUACGUGCCAGCAGCCGCGGUAAUUC